rnacentral:rRNA from 1 species
GACGAACGCUGGCGGCGUGCUUAACACAUGCAAGUCGAACGGAAAGGCCUGCUUUCCCUUGUGGAUUGCGGGUACUCGAGUGGCGAACGGGUGAGUAACACGUGAGUGAUCUGCCCCCAACUUGGGUAUAAGCCUGGGAAACUGGGUCUAAUUCCCGAUAGGACUGCAGGGUGGUGCCUGUGGUGGAAAACGAUUUUCUAGUGGUUGGGGAUGAGCUCGCGGCCUAUCAGCUUGUUGGUGGGGUAAUGGCCUACCAAGGCGGCGACGGGUAGCCGGCCUGAGGGGGUGGACGGCCACAUUGGGACUGAGAUACGGCCCAGACUCCUACGGGAGGCAGCAGUGGGGAAUAUUGCACAAUGGGCGGAAGCCUGAUGCAGCGACGCCGCGCGGGGGAUGACGGCCUUCGGGUUGUAAACUCCUUUCGACCGCGAGGAAGCCACCUGGUUGGAAGGGUGGUGACGGUAGUGGUAGAAGAAGCACCGGCUAACUACGUG